AAAGUCGUAACAAGGUCUCCGUUGGUGAACCAGCGGAGGGAUCAUUAUCGAGUUAUUCAACUCCCAAACCCUAUGUGAACUUACCACUUGUUGCUUCGGCGCGCGCUUCGGCGCCGCCGAGGACACUUAAACUCUUUGUUUUUAUAAGCAUUUCUGAGUGGCCGAAAGGCAAAAAUACAAAUGAAUCAAAACUUUCAACAACGGAUCUCUUGGUUCUGGCAUCGAUGAAGAACGCAGCGAAAUGCGAUAAGUAAUGUGAAUUGCAGAAUUCAGUGAAUCAUCGAAUCUUUGAACGCACAUUGCGCCCGCCAGCAUUCUGGCGGGCAUGCCUGUUCGAGCGUCAUUUCAACCCUCGAGCCCGACUCUUUUGAGGACGGCUCGGCGUUGGGGGACGGCAGACUCCCCCCGGCAUCUCGCCGGGGACGCCGCCCCCGAAAUCUAGUGGCGGCCCUCCGAGGCGACCUCUGCGUAGUAACUUGUUCUCGCACCGGAAAGCUCAGAGCGGCCACGCCGUAAAACCCCAACUUUUUUCAGGUUGACCUCGAAUCAGGUAGGACUACCCGCUGAACUUAAGCAUAUCAAU
rnacentral:rRNA from 1 species